ACGCUCGACACCUACGGGAGGCAGCAGUUGGGAAUAUUGGACAAUGGAGGAAACUCUGAUCCAGUGACGCCGCGUGAAGGAAGAAGGUCUUCGGAUUGUAAACUUAUUUUGUCAGGGAAGAAAAAUGACUGUACCUGAAGAAAAAGCACCGGCUAACUACGUGCCGGCAGCCGCGGUAAUCUGAGCGGGCUGGCAAGGC
rnacentral:rRNA from 1 species